rnacentral:rRNA from 1 species
GACGAACGCUGGCGGCGUGCUUAACACAUGCAAGUCGAACGGAGCGAAUGAAAGCUUGCUUUUAUAAGCUUAGUGGCAAGCGGGUGAGUAACACGUAGGCAACCUGCCGACAGGAUGGGGACAACAUUCCGAAAGGAAUGCUAAUACCGAAUGAAGUCGAGGGAGGGCAUCCUCCUCCGAUGAAAGAUGGCCUCUAUAUAUAAGCUAUCACCUGUCGAUGGGCCUGCGUCUGAUUAGCUGGUAGGUGAGGUAACGGCUCACCUAGGCGACGAUCAGUAGCCGGUCUGAGAGGAUGAACGGCCACAUUGGGACUGAGACACGGCCCAGACUCCUACGGGAGGCAGCAGUGGGGAAUCUUCCGCAAUGGGCGCAAGCCUGACGGAGCAACGCCGCGUGAGUGAAGAAGGUCUUCGGAUCGUAAAGCUCUGUUGAUGGGGACGAACGUGCCUAAUGCGAAUAUUAUUAGGUAAUGGGGGACCCAUCG